rnacentral:pre_miRNA from 1 species
UUUAAGUGUACUUGUGGUUUUUUAUCCAACAUUUAAUCGUCCGUCUUAUUUAAAAUUAUUUGAAAUUCUUUUAUGAUUAGUAUUUUUAUUAUUAUUAGAUGAUAAAAGAUAAAUAUUGAUUUAUGCGUGACUUUUUUAAAAAAAAUUAUAAAUUUUUCAAAUAAGAUGGACAAUCAAACUUUUAAUAUAAAAAUACACAACUACACUUAAU